rnacentral:tRNA from 1 species
UCAAGAUAUCCUGAUUUGCACAGAAAAAUUUUCAGUGUAAAUGAAACACUUUAUUUAUUUUAUUAUAUUUAU